CAGUCGCCGCGGUAAUACGAAGGGUGCAAGCGUUACUCGGAAUUACUGGGCGUAAAGCGUGCGUAGGUGGUGGUUUAAGUCCGUUGUGAAAGCCCUGGGCUCAACCUGGGAAUUGCAGUGGAUACUGGGUCACUAGAGUGUGGUAGAGGAUAGUGGAAUUUCCGGUGUAGCAGUGAAAUGCGUAGAGAUCGGAAGGAACAUCCGUGGCGAAGGCGACUAUCUGGGCCAACACUGACACUGAGGCACGAAAGCGUGGGGAGCAAACAGGAUUAGAUACCCCCGUAGUCCCUGUCUCCUAUAC
rnacentral:rRNA from 1 species